CUUAAGAAAUCCAUAUACUUUAAAAAAUAGUUUUUAUUCUCCUUUGGUCCAGAAGGGUUAGGAACAAUAACUCAGUAGUUACUUCCUGUAUUAGUUUCUUAUUUGCUGCUGUAACACUUUUUCACAAAGUGAGUGCCUUAACACACAUGUACUUAUUAUCUUACAGUUCUGACUGGUGAUGCUGGGCUAAAACCAAGUUGUCACAGGGCUGUGUUCCCUUCCUAAGGCUUUAUGGGAGAAUCUGUUUCCUUGACUUUUCCAACCUAAGGACAUUCCUUUCCUCCAUCUUCAAAGCCUGCUAGCAACGUUGUAUCCUUCUGUGCCAUUCAUCUACAGUCUUAUCUUUUACAGAUGCUUAUGAUUAUAUUGGGCCCACCCAGAUAAUCCUAUUUAAAGGUCACCAUAAUUAGUGACCUUAAUUCCCCUUUGUCAUGUAACAUAGUCACAGGUUCUGGGAAGCAGGAUGGGGAUAUCUUUGGGGUGAUUAUUCUGCCUAUUAUGCUUACUAAUGAUAAUUUCUACAAUCUGUGAUUGACAAGUGUUUCCCUUUGAUAGUUAGGGUCUCUAGACUUGGGACAUGUGAUAAAUGGACAUGAAAUGCAUGCCAUCCCCCAGAAUAUAUGGGAAAGUGAAAUCUACCAAUCUGCUCAGGAGACCCCUCUGUUUACCAGCGAGUCUGUUUUUACAGAACAAUCUUAGGUUUAUAGUGAGGGGGGGUUCCCCAGUCAGAUGGUUCAGACUUCCACUGACUGACUUCAGGAAAGCUGCCUGUACUCUCUGUGUUUGCGUAGUUGCAGAGUCAGGGUGAUGGAGAUUAAUGAGAGAAUCAGUAGAAACCUUUAGCAAAUCUCUUCCGUGGUAGCUGUUAUUAUUAUAGAUGUUGCCAUUAUUGGCCAGAAGCUAUUUAGGAUCUUGUAAUGGCCUCUCAGCCAUGAGAUGAAAACUGAAUUAUCUAUAAUACGAGUUUAAUGUCAAGUCAAUUUCAUUAUAUCUUUGGUCUUUGAAAAGCGGCAGUUGCUAUAUAAUUUGUAUAAUAAUUUUUUAAAUGAAUCUAUUUCUGUGAAACAAACCACUACUGUAUUUAGUUUUAAAAAACCUAUUCCAUGCAGCAAACCACCACGUACGUGUUUAUAUAUAACAAACCUGUACAUCCUGCACAUGUACUCCGGAACUUAAAAAAAAAUCUAUCCAUUUCCUGAUCAAGGUAGAUAGGCAUUUGCGAAGAUGAAACAAUCAAAUGUUCAGAUGAUCAAAUGGAGCCAUUAGCAACUACUGCCUAGCACAUGUAAGGAAUUACAUUUGGUUCUGCCUGGUUUCCUAAGGGACUUGACAGAUGCUGUCUUCUUAUGUUCAUUUGUAACCUGCCAAUUCAUGCAAAAUAUGCUUGCCUGCGAAGUUAGGGCUUCCAAUUGUAAGUAAUACGCUCUGUAUUUUUGUCAGUGGAUUGGAUCUUGUGGUAAGAACUGUGCAAGAUGAUCUUGGUUAUCUGCUAGGCUGAUUUCAGAGGUGCAGUCUGACUUACUGACCACUAAUCCUUGACACCACUCCCUGUGCCAUUCUGGGGGCACUGUCUGUCCUCUGCCCUGUGCCCCUUUGCCUGUCUCAUUCCUCCUGCUUGAGAUACCUUCUCUUUCCUGCUUCUGUUUCUCUGUAGCUUACACCUUAUUUGAGACACAAAGCAUUCUGGUUCCCUGUAUAUAACAUUUCCAUUGUAAAAAAUAAUUUAAUAUGCGAAAAUAGUUUUCCAAAAAAUCACUUGUGGAAAAACCUUGAAAACAUUAUGCUAAGUUAAAUAUGCCAGAUGCAAAAGGACCAACACUGUAUGAUUCUGCUUGUAUGGAAGAUCUAGAAUGGGCAAAUUCAGAGAGACAGGAUGGAGACUAGAGGUUGCCAAAGGGCUGGAGGGAGGGACAGAAUGGGGAAUUUAUUGCCUUAUAGUUAAAGAAUUUCUCUUCCAGGUGAUGAAAAAGAUAGAUAGUAGUGAUAAUUGUAUAAUGUUGUAAAUGUUACUAAUGCCACUGAAUUACAUACUUAAGAAUGGUUAAGAUGGCAAAUUUCGUUUUAUAUAUGUUAAUGUAAUUUUUAAAAAGGGAAAACAAAGUUGUCCAUAAUCCCACCCCUCGGAGAUUUCACUGUUAAUACUUUCGCAUCUUUUUCUUACCUUUAUUAAAAAAAACAGAAAACAAAAACAUUUCCUGACAGUCUUUCUUAUCAUUGAAAUUAGGAUCCUAGAGUAUAAUAUAGUCUAUAUCUUCUAUAAAAUCAGUCUAUAUCUUCUUUAAUUCAGUCUUCUUUCUUAAGCAUGUUUCCAUACGAUUGGAACCUUUGCAUCAGCCUGGUCAGCUACUUAAGAUUUCAUUCUAACCAGACUCAUUCAUUUAAAACAGUGCCACUAUAAUCUUUCUCAGCCUAUUCUUGUUAUGCUGACUUCCCCAUUUCAUUUAUUCAGCAAACAUUUACUGAGCAUUUGCUAUGUGCCAGUUAUACUUUGGGCCCUCGGAGGGAGGUAGAAGCCAGUAAUGGGGUUCAAAAUCUGGAGUCACAUCGUCUAACCUAUGCAAACCAGUUCUCUGUGAUAUAUUUUGAGAGACAUUGGGUGAUCUAUAGAUUCUAUACUAUUCAUCUGGUCCUAAAAUUCUCUGAUAUGGGGCAUUUAGUUCUGAAACCUGAAAACUAGCUAGAAGAAACCUGGCCAUGAACAAACUGUUAGAAGCACAUUUUAAAAGUUAGCUUUCACUGUUUUUCUCUAUUAGGGAGAUACCCAUGAAGCUUUUGGCCUUUCCUAAAAACUGAUUUGAAAUGUAAUGAACAAUUUGAAAUUUUCAUUCCCAAGAACAAAACAAAACACCCAAAUACAUCCCCUUAUUAGGAGUCUAAUGAAGGAAUGUUAAGUCUCACUUUUUUUUUUUAUUUUAAAGUUUUAGAAUAACAAAGCCCACACAUAAUCAUGGUGUCUUGGUGAGUAUAUAUUAUCUUUAUGUGUAAAUUAAUUUUCCCCAGACUUUAUUUUAUUAUAUUAAAAUGUGUUCCACUCAAGACUUGAGAACCAACACAAAAAAUGAAUAUGUGUUAAAUAUACCCUAGAGACAGAAAAAAUAAAUAAUUACUUUAACAAAACCCUUAGUGACACGAAUAGACUUUUCUUUUAGACUUUUUUUUUUUUUGAGAUGGAGUCUUGCUCUGUCACCCAGGCUGGAGUGCAGUGGCACAAUCUCAGCUCACUGCAGCCUCUGCCUCCCAGGUUCAAGCAAUUCUCCUGCCUCAGCCUCCCGAGUAAGCUGGGAUUACAGGCCUAUGCCACCACGCCCGGCUAAUUUUUUGUAUUUUUAUUAGAGAUGAGAUUUCACCAUGUUGGCCAGGCUGGUCUCGAACUACUGACCUCAGGUGAUCUGCCCACCUUGGCCUCCCAGAGUUCUGGGAUUACAGACAUGAGCCACCACGCCCGGCCUAGAUAUUUUAAAUACUGGCAGAGAUGAGGACUGCUUCAGAGAUAUUUUUCUUGGGUGAUUUAGAAGGAAGAUGGUGGAAUAUAAAGAACUUGGUGGACAAACACUUAGGAAUCUUCUAGACUAUAUCCUGAUUUUAUAGUAUCAGGCACAUAGUAAAAGCUUGGUAUAAAGUUGAGCAAAUGAAUGGAUUUUGAAAGGACUGAACUUUUAACAUUAGAAUAUGAAUAUUAUCACCAUGGGAAAAAAGAUACAUUAUUUAUUUUAACAAGUGAUCUCAAGAGUGAUAAUGAGAUGAUGUGGUAUGAAUCAUCUUUGUAUGCCUAGACGUAUCUAGCAUCCAGGAAAAUAUGCAGAUGUCUUUGUAGAGAGAAGUCAUGUAGGGUCUCUUUCUUUUUUUUUAAGCAAUUGAUAGAAUGAAGUUUAUUUAACCCUGUCUCCCAUUUACUCCUUUCUUCAAAAGCUAAUUUUCAUAUCUGUUUUCAGACUUUUAUGUGGACAGAUGUUUCAGGGUUUGUUUGCAAACAUUUCCCAGACAUAUUGUUGAUCAGCAGGUUUCUGCAAUUAACAGCAUCUUCUUAAGCCUGUUUCCUACAUUCUGAUUGACUGUAUGACAAAUGCUGUAGGUUUUCACAGAUGCAGGGAAAGAGAAGGUUACCAGCUCAGCAGAAUCCUGUGGAAAUCAGAUAUGAGUCUUAGGACAGUUCAUUGGAAAUGGAAUUCAGUAAAAGGUUGAGAGCGCAUGAAGUAGUGUGGUUGUAGGUGGCGUCUUGAAUAAAGUCAGCUGUUGUGCAUGCACCCCAGCAGACACUGGGGAAUGCACAGACACAUUCACUCACACACAAUAUCUCCUUUAAUCGUCUGAAGAAUUCUGGGAAAAGCGACUGGGGUCUUUAUUUCAGCGAUGAGGACAGAGAGGCUCAGAGACCACAGAGCUUGCCCCAAAGCCCAUAUGAACAUUCAUGGUGGAGCCCCAAGUCACAUUCUGAUGUGUCUGGCUCUGAAGCCCUUACUUGCUCUACAUAAAAAAGUAUUCAUUAAAAUGAGAAGCAGGCUCUGGGUAUAUUGGAUUUUCAUAAUGGGGAAAAAGAUGCAUUCAUUGUCUCAAAACAUGGGCGCAGGAGUUCUAAGAAUUUUUUUCUUAAAAUUAAUGAAAUAAUGAUGUAAAAUAUUUGGCAGGGAACCUGAUUCAUUGAAAGUGCUCCAAAGUAAGGCCUGCUGUUGCUGUUGUUUUUGUUAUUGAUAUGCAACAACAGGAAACUUUGAAGAACAGCCUUUGUUCUUCUUGGACUUGAUACAGUGUUAAAUAUUGUAGAAUUCUAAGCAUUUUGAUAUAAAUAUAUUUAAAUAUCAUAUCCCCAUGCGAGUGAACAAGGGCAAUGAAAGCCACGUAGUAUUCAUUUUGUAGACUGCAUUCCAGUGGAUUCCAAACAUCCUACUCUGUCAAGGUGGCACCUCCUCUAUGCUGUCCUCAUUAGGCUGUACCUAGUUCCGGGCAUGACACUUAUUAGUUAUUUGUUGAAUGAAUGGGUGAUUAAAAUUGGUCGUGGGGAUUAACUGUCUGCAGCCUGGAUUGGGUCUCCAUGUUCGUGGAUUUUCUAGAGUGUGGAUCUCCUUGUUGAAAGCUUUCUGCUGAUGUAUAAUAAAUUUUAUUCACAAAUGAAACACAUCCUUUGAUGUCUAUGACAUGUUGUGAUCCUAGGGUAUAUUCCUCAGCAUUAAAGCCAUUAACUUAUCCCAGUACAGAAGCAUGGUUUAAAAUGAGUCUUCUCAACGUGGCUUCUUUAAAAACUCUGCAAAUUGUAGCUCAAGGAAGAUAGAAUUACUCCCUGUUAGGUUUUUAAGUUCUUUUGUAAAUUUUAAAGAUUGACACAACUGCAGGAGCCAACAACAAGAACUUUUUAUUUCAUCAAAUGUGCUCAUCAAAUGUUGUAGCUUAAUAAAUAAAGCAAUAGGCCAGGCGUGGCGGCUCAGGCCUGUAAUCCCAGCACUUUGGGAGGCCGAGGCGGGCGGAUCAGGAGGUCAGGAGACUGAGUCCAUCCUGGCUAACACGGUGAAACCCUGUCUCUACUAAAAAUACAAAAAAUUAGCCAAGCGUGGUGGCGGGCAUCUGUAGUCCCAGCUACUUGGGACGCUGAGGUGGGAGAAUGGCGUGAACCUGGGAGGCGGAGGUUGCAGUGAGCCGAGAUCGCGCCACUGCACUCCAGCCUGGGGGACAGAGUGAGACUCCAUUUAAAAAAAAAAAAAAAUCAAUAAUAGCAACCUCUUUUAUUUUGAUGGAACUGCAGUUUCCACAGUUGAUCAAGUUCUCUCUGGUCAUAACCAUAGUCUUUGAUGUUGUUUACAUGAUUAUAGAAGGAGCUUCAAAAUGUGCAUUUCAGAAGCAGCCCAAAAGGCAUUAAACUCUUCUCACUAUUCACCCAAAGCUGUCAUUGAAUCAUAUUUCCCCCAUUACAAAAACAGUAAAUCUGAAAUACUUAGGAAAGAUAGAAAAGCAUAAAGAAGGAAAAAUAGUGAUCUCAAAGUUAAUGGCUGAACAUUUUUGUUUAUAUUUUCUAGUGUUUGUGGAUGUGUGCAUACAAAAAUGGGGUCACAUAUUUACAAGUGGAUUUUUAUUUACUUAGCACUAUGUGCCUUAAAUUUUUAAAUCUUAAUAUGUAUUUUUUCACGACCUGACCUUAGUGGCUGAAAGCAGUGGUUUUAUAGAGAUAGAGGUUUCCUGAAGUUUUCAGAAUGUCUAUUGAUAACAGUUGAGAGUAGAUUAUUUCUUAACCGAUGCAAAAUAAUGAACAGUAAUUAAGUUUUCCAUCGUUUCUCCCCACUAUCACUGGGAUUUUCCUGAGACCUUAACAGUAAAUGUGAAAAUAAUGUGUGGCCCUACAGCCAGACACCCUUAUCACUGCCCUGUUCACCUUCCCUGGAAGAGGCAAGUAGGCAUGGCUGUUAGAAACAAAGGGUUCAGAUUUGGGCUUUCCAGGUUCAGAUCCCAAUAUCUCAGUUUACUGGGUGUAUGACCUUUGCAAGCUCAUUAACAAUUCCAAGCACUGGUUUUUGCAGUGGUACAAUGGGGAUAGUAAUUAUACUAACCUCCUAGGAUUUGUGGGAGCAUUAAAUUAAGAUAAUGUAGUAAUGUCCCUCACACGAUGACCAGUGCCCAGAAAAUAUUAUUAGCAUCAUUAUCAGUCCAGUAAAUUGUUUUAAAAACCAAAAAGACACUAGUGGAAAUUGAUUUGUGGUGUUUCCUGGCAGAAAAAUGAAUAUGGGUUGUUAUGUUUCUGUGUGUUUGAGGGUGUGUGGGAGUACGCAUGCAUACUGAAUGCACAUUCCUAUCAGAGGCUUCAGAUAAACUAGUGCUUGAAAGCCAUUCCAGGCACAUCCUUUUGAUUGUGUCCCUCUAUUGCACUUUGCAGAUACUGCAUUUUUUUUUUUACAACUUGAAGGUUUGUGGCAACUUUGCAUUGCCCAAGUCUAUUGGUGCCAUUUUUCCAACAGCAUGUGGUCACCUUGUGUCUUUGAGUCACGUUUUGGUAAUUCUCACAAUAUUUAAACUUUUUCCUUGUUCUGUCUGUCUUGGUGAUCUGUGAUCAUUUAUCUCUGAUGUUACUGUUGUAAUUUCAGGGUGCCACAAACUAUACCCAUAUAAGAUGGCAAACUUAAUAAGUGUUGUGUGUGUUCUGACUGCUCCACGGAUCCCCCUUUCCCAUGUCUCUCUCCCUCUCCUGGGGCCUCCCUAUUCCGUGAGCCACAACAGUAUUGAAAUUAAGUCAAUUAAUACCCUGCAAUGGACUCUUUAAGUGUUUGAGAGAAAGGAAGAGUCACACAUCUCUCACUUUAAAUCAAAAGCUAGAGAUGAUUAAGCUGAAUGAGGAAGGCAUGUGGAAAGCUGAGAGCGGCUGAAAGCUAGGCCUCUUGAACCAAACAGUUAACUAAGUUGUGAAUGCAAAGGGAAGAGUUCUGGCGGCAAAUUAAAAGGGCUAUUCCAGUAAGCACACGAAUGGCAAGAAAGUGCAACAUCCUUAUUGCUAAUGUGGAGAAAGUUGGUCUGGAUAGAAGAUUAAACCAGGUACAACAUUUCCUUAAGCCAAAGCCUGAUCCAGAGCAAGGCCCUAACUCCCCAGUUCUGUGAAUGAAGGCUGAGAGGUGAGGAAGCUGCAGAAGAAAAGUUUGAAGCUGGCCUAUAAGUUGGUUCAUGAAGUUUAAGGAAAGAAGCUGUUUUUAUAACAUAAAAGUGCAAGAUGCAGCAGCAAGUACUAUUGUAGAAGCUACAGCAAGGUAUGCAGGAGAUCAAGCUAAGAUAAUUGAUGAAUGUGGCUAUACUAAACAACAGAUUUUCAGUGCGGAUGAAACAGCCUUCUAUUGGAAGAAUAUGUUGUCCAGGACUUUCCUAGCUAGAGAGGAGAAGUCAAUGCCUGGCUUCAAAACUUCAAAGGACAGACUCAGUCUCUUGUUAGGUGGUAACGUAGCUGGUGACUUGAAGUUGAAGCCAAUGCUCAUUGACUAUUCUGAAGAUUCUAGGGCCUUAAAGAGGGUGCUAAAUCUACUCUGCCUGUGCUCUAUAUAUGGAAUAACAAAGCCUGAAUGAUAGCACAUCUGCUUAUAGCAUGUUUUACUGAAUAUUUUAAGCCCUUGUUGAGACCUACUUCCUCAGAAGAAAAAAGAUUCCUUUCAAUGUAUUGUUACUGCUACUCAUCGACAAGGCACCUGGUCACCCAAGAGCUCUGAUGGAGAUGUACAUGGAGAUGAAUGUUGUUUUCGUGCCUGUUAACACAGCAUCCCUUCUGCAGCCCAUGGAUCAAGGAGUCACUUAAACUUUCAAGUCUUAUUAUUUAAGAAAUACAUUUUGUAAAGCUAUAGCUGCCGUAGAUAGUGAUUCUUCUAUGGAUCUGGUCAAAGUAAGUUGAAAAUCUUCUGGAAACAAUUUACCAUUCUAGAGGCCAUUAAGAACAUUUGUGGCUGGGUGUGAUGGCUCAAGCUUAUAAUCCCAGUGCUUGGGGAGGCUAAGGUUGGAGGAUCACUUGAGGCCAGGAGUUUCAGUGCAGCCUGGCAAUACAAUGAGACCACAUCUCCACAAAAAAAUUUUUUUUUUAAAUUGGCUUGGGGUGGUGGCCCAUGCCUAUAGUCCUAGCAACUCAGGAGGCUGAGGCAGGAGGAUGGCAAAAGUUUAAAUAUAACUUUUAUAUGUGCUGGAAAACCAAAAAAUUUAUGUGACCUGCUUUAUUGCAAUAUUCACUUUAUGGCGGUCAUCAGGAACCGAACCCACAGUAUCUGUGAGCUAUGCCUGUAUAAGUAUUCUCUGAGGAUAUUGAUGGGAUGAGUGCCACUGUCAGUGCAAACCUGUUGUGAUUUAAACACUUUGCUCCUGCAGUGAGAUGUGGCCUAAAGCCAUUAGCACAAAGAGGAAGGAAAACUGGAGGGCUUUGAAAGCACUAGUUGCCUACAGUGAGUUUUUAUUUUCAAGUUAGAAUAUUGUAAGGGAAUGUGGAAUCUGAUUUUAGGAGUCCUAAUGAGGCAGGUUUAAUGCGCUAAUGGCGUGUGUGUGUGUGGAGAGAGGUGUGUGUGUGUUGUUUUCGGUAAUUGGUUAAGUGAAACUUCAGGCUUCCAUCUUCACCCCUUCCAACCCAUUUGCCAUAUGUGGGUAGAGUAAUGUUGAUAAAGUAGAAUUUAGUGAUCUCACUUCCUCAUUUAAAAUCUUUCAUUGGUUGUAAUUUGACGUGAUUAGCCUGGACCUUUGUGGUUUGACCCCAGCCACCUACCCAUGUAAAAUCUUUAUUUUCUGCCUCUUGGAAGUAUUGGAAAACCGGGCACCAUAUGGCAGCCAGUGAUUGUGAGUGAGCUACCACCUGCCAUGCUCCCACAAUGCUCUCUCCUUUCCUGUAUUGGAACAAUGUUACAUUAUUGUCUUAUUUCCUGUUGUAUCCCCAGUAUUUAGCACAUUGCUGGAUUCUAACUCAGGGCAUACCUGGUGAAUAAAUUAAUUAGUUCCAAACAUUGACUUGUUCUUUACUGGAAGAAGUUGCUUUUAUUCAUUAAAUUUAAGGCUGAUUUAUUCAUCCAUCCAUCUGUCCAUCCAUCCACCCGUCCGUCCAUCUGUCCAUCCAUCCAUUCAUUUUAAAAGUCUUGAUGCGCUGGGCGCAGUGGCUUACGCCUGUAAUCCCAGCACUUUGGGAGGCUGAGGCAGGUGGAUCACGAGGUCAGGAGAUUGAGACCAUCCUGGCUAUAACACGGUGAAACCCCGUCUCUACUAAAAAUACAAAAAAUUAGCCAGGCGUGGUGGCGGUGCCUGUAGUCCCAGCUACUCAGGAGGCUGAGGCAGGAGAAUGGUGUGAACCCAGGAGGUGGAGCUUGUAGUGAGCCGAGAUCGCGCCACUGCACUCCAGCCUAGGGACAGAGCGAGACUCCGUCUCAAAAAGAAAAAAAAAAAAAAGUCUUGAUGCAAGUGUGACAGUAUUAACAAUCAGUUCUGGCUGGUGGGCACAAAGGUGUUUGUGGUAUUCUAGGAAUGAAGUUGCCUUUGAAAUUAAUAGUGAGAUGGUUAAUUUUGUGUGUCAUCUUGACUGGGUUAAGAGAUUCCCAGGUAGCUGGUAAAACAUUAUUUCUGGGUGUAUCUGUAAGAGUGUUUCUGGAAGAGGUUUGCAUUUGAAUCAAUAAACUGAGUAAAGAAGAUCUGCCAUCACCAAUGUGGAUGGGCAUCAUCCAGUCCUUUGCUGGCCUGGAUAGAACACAAAUAUGGAGGAAGGGCGAACUUGUUCUCUCUUCUUGAGCUGGGACACCCAUCUUCUCCUGCCCUUGGACAUUGGAGCUCUUGGUUUCUGGGUCUUCGGUCUCUGGAGGAUUUAUACCAGUGCUGCCCUUACCCACCCCAGGUUCUCAAGCCUUCUGGCUUGGAUUGGGAGUUUAUACCAUCAUGGAUUGAAAUAUACCACCAGUUUUCUUGGUUCUUUAGCUUGCAGACAGCAUAUUGUGGGACUCCUUGGCCAAUUCACAUGAGCCAGUCAUGUGAGCCAAUUCCUAUAAAUAAACUUCUUCUUAUAUAUCUGUAUAUAUAUGUCCUAUUGGUUCUGUUUCUCUGGAGAGCCCUGACUAAUACAAAUAGCAUUCUUUUAAAAGGAGUCUCUGUUCUUGUCACCUGGAACUCCAUUGAUCUAAAAGUCACCACUGGAAGAUCCCACAUAGAUGAAGCUGCUACUUUUGCUGGGAACUUUUCUUACAGGUUGGAAAUAGAAUGAUAGAAAUCAAAGUGCUCUUUUGGCAAGACCCAUAGAAAACCAUAAGAGAAUUGAAUGAUGGUAACAGAGAAUGAACCUUCGGCUCUCUGAAUUCACUUUCAAAAAUAUCAGUGUUACUUCUGAAAAUUCUGCGUCUGGGAGAUUUAAUUGUUGGAGUGUCUCAGGCAAGAGCAGUGUCUUUAGAGAUGAAGAUGUGGGUUCAGAUUGCUGCUCGGGCACUCACUGGGAGUAGAACUUUGAUCAGGCUAUCUAAUCUCCAUGGGCCUCUAUGAAAUCUGACUGUGGAGGUAAGAAUGGUCCUCACAGAGGCUUCAGUUAUUGACAUGGUGCCUGUAAAGUGCUUGAUAACCUGGCACAUUCUAAGCAUUUAAUGAGCGGCAGCGGACAUCAAUGUUAAUAUAUGUGUAUUGGCAAGUCAAAUUUUUUUUGUUGUAAGUGAAACUUAGCAGAGGGAGAAUCUUUAACUGUGGAGCCUCCUUGGUCAGCACAUGUUGCUUUUCUUUUUGUCUUCAGUAGGUUGUUGAUAAUAAUGAUAACUGAGGUGCUGCUGUGGGGCCUGGGGGUUGCAUUUUUAUACUAGCUCAAGGAUCAUUCACUGGGUUGGACGGAUCCCUAGCAAGAGCCGUGAAUACCAAAUUCAGUGCUGUCUGACCAUCUGUGGAGGCUUCAGAUUGCCCUGGAUCUGUUGACAAUAUUACAUGAUAGAUCAACUUAAUGGAAUCUCGCUGAUCUCACUCAUCUUAUUGGUUCUUAUGUAGGUCUCACCAUCUUGCAUAACCUUAGGAAUCACCUCCAAUAUUUAUAUUUUCUGUUGAUCUCCUGUACACACACACACACACACACACGUGCAGACACACUUUUAAAAACAGGCUUUAUCCACUUUUAAAAUGAGAACCCCCCCAAAAAUCCUUAACUUCUGUUUCCAUUUGUCUAUUAUUAGAACACUUGCAGACAGCAAUCUAUAAAGUGAAAUUUUAAAGCAGUCUACAUGGCUCUUAUUCAUUCAUUUUCAAGAAAAAAAUUAAAUGCUAGGAAUACAGCAUGAUUCCAAUAUGUAUUUGAUGAAACAUCUUCAGAGGUUAAAUGACAUUCAUAGAUAUUUAAAUUUAGCUUUGUGUUUCAGGAGUAAUUUAUUAUUAAAUAAUAAGGGUCUUUUGCCAGAUUCUCAAGUAACUCAAUUGUAUGCAUAGGUAUAUACUUUCUUUUUUAAUAGAGAGAAGCUUUUAUGUGAAUUGUAAUGAUCUAUAGGAUAAUUUUAGGAUUUGUCUUCCUUCCCCCUCCCCUCCCCUCCGCUCUCUUCCUCCCUUCUCCUCCCCUCACCUCCCAUCUCUUCACCUCCCCUCCCCCCACCAUUUCCUUCUCUGUCCUCCCCUCCUGCUGUUUAUCUAGAUGUGACACUGGAUUUAGCUUCCCUGGAAAUUUAUAAUAAAUCCAUACACACAUUCAAGAGGACUCGCUUAUUGUUAGAUUUUAACAACUCUGCUUCCUUCAGGAAUCUUCAGCAGUCAUAUAUUUGUGUUGGAAACAGUCACUAAAGAGUUUUCAAUGCUGUUGAAAUAGAGAUUUGACUAAUGAUAAUGAAGGUUAUGUAGACAAGACAGUUUCUCUCUCUCCCUCUCUCUCUCUCUCUCCCUCUCUCUCUUUCUUUCUCUCUUUCUCUCUCUCCCCCUCUCUCUUUCUCUCUUUCUUUCUCUCUCUUCCUCUUUCUCUCUUUCUUUCUCUUCUUUCUUUUUUUUUUUUUCUUGACAGGGUCUCACUCUGUUGCCCAGGCUAAAGUGCUGUGGCAUGAUCACGGCUCACUGCUGCCUCGACCUCCUGGGCUCAAGAGAUCCUCCUGCCUCAGUCUCCAAAGUAGCUAGGGCUACAGGCAAGUGCCACCAUACCUGGCCAAGUCUUUAAAUUUUUGUAGAGGCAGGGUCUCCCUGUGUUGCUCAGGGUGCUCGAACUCCUGGGAUCAAGCCUUCCUCCCACCUCCUGCCUCAGCCUCCCAAGGUGCUGAGAUUACAGGUGUGAGUCACUGCACCCAGUCAAGAUAAUGUUUUUAACCUGCAAAUGAAAAAUGAGUUGGCAUCCUCAUCUGCUAUAUCUGUUCUCCAAACCCUGUCAGCCAUGGGAAAAAUCGACUGAGACGAUGUUCUUCUUUUUGAGAAAGAUAAAUGGACCUCAGAAAGGGACAUUAUAGUGAUAGGAGGAGUAGAUUGGAUUUUAAAUCAGACCCAAGAUGGAGAAAAGUAACACUCAGAAUUAGAGCAGGAAUUUCGGUGUUAAACAGCAAACCUGCAUUGCCCUUCCCUGGGAGUGGAUUAACAACAGCUGUAGUGACAUGGCCUCCUACAAACAUGUGAAGGUGGUUUCAUUGCUUCCAUUCCCUUCUUGGAAGUGUCCAUCUGACUAUCUUCUGUGCUUCUGGACUGAGCAGGCAAGGAAGAAAUAUCCUAGAUGGUUGCAGUGAUUUAUUUAUGCCUUAAUAUGCCAUAUAAUAUAGCCACUUUGUUUCAAGAUUAAGAUCAAACAUCCAAGGAAGGGACUGGCUGAAGAUUUAAACGGUCUUCAAAUUACCACAUCUGCUACAUCUGUCCCUAUAAACCAGAUGGUUUUUUGAUAGGAUGACUCUCAUUGUGUGAGAGAUGGAUGAGGUUUCCUUCUCUGGUUUUUCUCUUGGAUUGCAGUUGCCACUGACAGAUAAUCUUAGAGCAGAAAUGUCUGCUCUGAUGGGCUAAAUCUUCAAGAUAUUUCAUUAUUUGUUUUUCUUAUUACAGUGUUUUGAGGUCAAACAUUCUAAAAUAUAGAGAUUUUUACAUACAAUUAAUUUUCUGGCUUUUCAUUUAAAAACACAAAACACAGCUGGGCACGGUGGCUCACGCCUGUAAUCCCAGCACUUUGGGAGGCUGAGGUGGGCGGAUCACCUGAGGUCAGGAGUUCGAGACUAGCCUGGCUAACAUGGUGAAAUCCCAUUUCUACUAAAAAUACAAAAAAUUAGCGGGGCGUGGUGGCAGGUGCCUGUGAUCCCAGCUACUCGGGAGGCUGAGGCAGGAGAAUUGCUUGAACCCAGGAGGCGGAGGUUGCAGUGAGCCAAGAUCGCGCCAUUGCACUCAUUGCACUCCAGCUUGGGAGCAAAACUCCAUCUCAAAAAAAACAAACAAAAACAAAAAACCCACAACAAUGACAGAAAAAACAAGUGAUCUUGGAACCCUGAGUCCAGACAAUCAGCAAGAACUUAAUAGAUUCUUACCCCAUUAAUGGGGCAGGAGAUUCCCCAGUUUGCCACAGUCCUCAUCAUUCCCUGAUAUUUUACACCUAGUUCAUUUUUCUCAUUUGAGUUUCUCAUCAAUGAAUUCAAGAAUCAGAGUCAUAGUUUUUUUGCCAGACCUUAAAGAUACUUCUUAGCAUAUAGUUUAAUGCUUUGAGUUAGUACAAACUCCAGGAAGUGGAUCAGACUUGGGGAAUGAGGGAAGAUAUGCAUAACUUUUGCUUAAUUGUGAUGUAUAAUCUGUAGCAGGAUUUUUGCAUAAUUUUGUUAUGAUAGUUGAUACUAAAAACAGAAGUCUCAAAAGAGUUUUGUAUAUUAUAUUGAAGGAAUCCUCAUUCUAUUCAACUUCACAUUCUUGUUUUCUAGGUAAGUGCCGCGCUGUGAUUAGCAGUCUUUCUUCUUUACUGUUGUAAUGCUGAUAUCCUCUAGAGGGUAGCAGAGAGCAGCUUGAUGUUAGAGAGUCUGGGGAAGGAUGCUGGUGGUUUGAAAUGAUUCAGAAACCGUUUCUUUCCCUUUCUCGCACAGCUAAUCCUGGGAGCUCUUGGAAAGUGUGGCAGGAAGGAUGAGGUUGUACUCUUCACUAGUUACUGCUUAUCAGUAUCCCCAAGGAUCAGUCUAAUGAGAAGUGGGUUUGUGUACAAAGUCUUUGCAAGUUUUCAUGUCUUGUAAAUGAGAGUAGCCAAAUCUGGCUUGUCUGUGUGUUUUACCUAAGUGCAGAGCACCUGGACUGCAAUCCUAGCACACAGACAUUGAAAAGAGGCAGGAACUUUUCUUCUCUAGAUUCUGUUAUCUCUCUGAGGUUGGUGCCCUCUUCUUUAUGCAGAGACUGAAUUCGUUUUAUUUCUGAACAGUUCAGCAGGGGCUAAUUUGCUAAAUUGAUACGUGAAUGUUUUCUACCAAGAAGCUAUAUAAUUUAAAGGGGAAAAAUAUUCAUAAUACUUAAAAUAGAAUUGUUUAAUUGCGACAUUUCAGUAUCCCAGUAUUAUAUCAGAACCACAAGUAAUCAACUCUGACAAUAUUGUACACAACAGUUUCUAAAAUUUAGACCCUCAUUCUUUCCUGUGCUUGUAAACUUAGCAAGAAUGGAGAUUACACCUUAUAUUCCAAUUCUGGCUACUAUCCACAUUUAACAUUCUUCUUAGUAUCAGUCUUCGAAUCCUGGGGAUAAAUAAGCACAGCUUGCUUUUAGGCUGAAUUUUCAGAGCGCCAUUUAUUAUUUAAAGCACUAAAAAUGCCUGAUUUAUGCAUGAUAAUGUAAAUUUCUUUCUUUCUUUUUUUUUUUUUUUUUAAAUUUUUUGAGACAGAGUCUCACUCUGUCACCCAGGCUGGAGUGCAGUGGUACAAUCACAGCUCACUGCAGCCUCGACUUCCCAGGCUCAAGUGAAUCUCCCACCUCAGCCGCCCCAGUAGCUGGGACUACAGGCAUGCACCACCAUGCUCAGCUAAUUUUUUUUUUUUUUUUUAAGAGAUAGGGCUUCACUGUGUUGCCCAGGCUGGUCUUGAACUUCUGGACUCAAGUAAUCCACCCACCUCAGCCUCCCAAAGUGCUGGAAUUAUAGGUGUGAGCCAUCAUGCCUGGUCAUAGAUUUCCUUAAAUGCUGUUAGAAUUCUAUUUAACCCGACUGGAGCCAAGUUUUAAGGUGGACUGUGUGAUGGUGUUUUUAGCCAUAGCACGAAAAUUCCUUUUAUGUAUGUCUGACAUGGCAAACAAACAUUCCCAUAUUUGCUCCAAAGCUAUUACAUUCUGAAGACAGGGUUUCUCUCUUGAGAGUAUUUGUAAGUUCAGCCUUUUACUUAUAUACCAGUCAUUAAAUCAUGGGGUAUGGGUUAUAUGUUUUAAAUGGACAUUUUGAUCACCCUUCAGGGAAACUGGAAGAAAUGCCCUGUUGCACGGUGGUUACCUUUUGAGUUAUCCAGUAACUAAAUUUGGGGGCUAGAAGAUGCCUCUAGAGGUAACUUGAUUCAUUGUGAUUCUUUUCAUUGAAUUUGGCAAAACUACAAUGGAGGUAACCAUUUCACUUAUUAAAAAGAAAAAAAAAAACAAAAACCCCGGGGGGGUGGGGAGAGUUAGACAAUAACAGAUUCUGUUCUACAGCUCUGACAACACUUCAGCCUCUCACAAUAUUUUGCUGUAGAGAAAACAAAAAUGAACUAUUACUUUUUUCUUUUAGUGACCAUUUAUUCAUUUGUUUAUCCGUAGAUCUUUCCAUUCUAGGAAACAUUUGUGGGUUACAGUGCUGUCCUUAUCUCCUCAGUAGCAUCUCUCCCUGUUCCCGCUAACUGACCCCUGAUUUUGUGUCUAGUCAGCACAAUUACUUGAUCUCAGGCAAAGCAGGCCUGUCCCAGGUCAUACGUCGUGAAUCACAGUUGGUCUAAGCCAGUCUCGUCAGUCCAUUCUGCCACACCAGUGACUGGUCUAGAGUUGUAUAUGCGACCCAGCUCUGGCCAAUGAGACGUGAGGGGAAGUAGAAGAGAUUCCCUUCCUUAGUAAAGAUGAUGGAUACUCAUGAAGAUAGUCAUUUCGCCCCUGUCUCCUGCUUCCUGCUUUAAAUGAGGAUAUGUUGCUUGGAAAGGUAGUAGCAUCUUGUGAAAAUGAGGUGACAGGCUUGGGGAAGAAAAUUCACAUGCUGAGAAUGGUGGAAGCCAUUUUUUUUUAUAGCAUUGUUGAAGAGCUGAAGCAACCCCAGGGAUCACUUCCAGAUUUUGUGAGAUAAAUAAGCCACUAACUGUUUAAGCUACUCUUAAUGCAAAGAUUCUCUUAUUUGCAGCCAAAAGCAUUCCUAACUGAUAAACCACCUAAAAGGCAAAUGAUGUAAUGGAGAUAUUCACCAAUUCCACAGCAGUAUAUUUUGUCUCAAUCUGCUCUUCAUAAAUAUUUUCUUUUGGCCUGGAAAGAAAGACAGAUGCUGAGAAAUGUAAUUAGACUCUUGGUAUGUGUGGCCAAAUUUUAAUUUCUAAUUGAACAUGAGGCCCCAAAAUGUUUAGUCACAGAAAGAAAGUAAUACAGCAUCUCUUAUUCAAUCAAGUCAUUCUGAACUACUUAUAUAACCAAAGGUCAGUGGUAGCAGGAUUGUAUUACAUGGUGAUUUUAAUGUUCUGCCUUUUGUUGCUAACGGCUUGUUUUAAAAUCUAGUUCAGUUUCCUGCUUAGAUUGCAGUGCUGUAUUUGCAGUAGACAAAUUCAGAGAUUCUCUUGGGAGACUCUGGUUAUGGCUGGAUUCCCAGAACAGCUGAAAAGGUCAGGAAGUAGAGUUCACUUUUCAUUAGCGAUGGGGAGCUUCAAAGAUGGGUUCCAGGGUCAGCAAACACACAUUUGCUCAAGGAAUUUGGCCUUGCUGGGUAGUGGUUGUAAUGUUUAGUAAAGCAGGAUUGGCAGUGGCUCUUCCCUGAGUUAGAUUCAGUGUUGUUUCUAAACCUUUGGCUGGAAGUUAGUCCACUUAGACAUUCAGAUAAAACCAAAUCUUAAAUGACUGUAUAAAAUAUAUAUGUUUUAUGUUUUAUAUUGUCUACUGUGCAUAGUAUUAUACCCAAAAUGCUCAUACAUAGUGAUUUCAUGUGAUUUUAGCCAACCUCAAACUUUGAUCCUAACUGUAUUGUUAGCUGAAGUCAUUGAGAACUUUCAGCCAGGAAAUAUUUUUAAAUGAAUAUAGUUUGUUUACCAAUGUAGGUGCAGGCAACCUCAACGUAUGCUUACAUAAUGUAAUAGAGAUUUUGGAGUGACCUGCUGUCAGGAAUAGAUAAGCAGUUUAUAAUUAGUGUGUUGGUCCUAUAUGAAUAUACUUGUAGAUGGCUUGUUUUCUUCAGAGUGAAUAUCAUCCCCCCCCCCCCCCCCGUUCCAUUUUUUGUUAACUGCUAAUUUGUAGGACAGAUUUGUUUUUAUUGGAUAAUGCAGAACACAGAUUCAGACCAUGCCAGGUCCAAAUUUUUGCAAAACUUGAUUUAAUCAGAUCAAAAUUAGUCAGGUUUUACUGCAUGUCAUUCCUAUUUAAUCUCAAGAGUUAUUAAACACAGUAAAUGAUCAUUUUGUGAGGAGAUGUCAUAUGAGUAUUGAUUAGGAAUCACAGUAAAGCCUUACUAUUUUAAAAAACAAUUGGCUUCAUUACACACUCAAGUUCUACUAGAGGAAUAGUGCUUAUGCAGUUAAAAAAGUUUUAUCCCCAAGUUCCUUUAAGAUUUUUUAAAAAAAGUGUUAAGAAUAGUGGUGUCCUAGACAAAAUAAUUUUUUAAAAAAUACGGUUUUUUCUUUGCAUCAUUUCUUUGGGACAGUUGUUUCUCUUCUGACAAUACUGUUUGAAGGGUAAAAGUUCAGCUGUGCCACAGAACACCUGCUCUUUGCUUAGCUGAAUGACUAUCUAGUUUGACUUAUUUCUCCAGGAUUUGGAAUUUUAGGCCCUGGGGUUUGAGGAAGUAACUUACCAUGUUUAGGGGUGAAUUACUUCUCUUCAUCUUUUCAGCUUUUCUUCUUGCUGUUUCCCACACAGCAGCAGCUGUUUUUAACAACAGAAAUCAUGUCAUAGCACUUUCCUGCUGAAAACUGCUGAGCAGCUUCCUGCAGACAAAGAUCCAAAUUCCAUACCAUGGGCUCUAUGAUCCCACGUGGUCUGUCUCUCUUUGCAUCUCCAGCUCAUCUUAGGCCACCUUCUGCGCCUCACAGGGUGCUCCAGCUCCAAUCAUCCUGUUCUGAGUUUUCCCCAAGCUCAUUUCCAUCUCAAAGCAUUUGCUCCUGUCAUUUGCCUCAUAUGGGAAUCUCCUUCCCUAGAUCUUUCUUGACUGAUGCCUUCUCAUGGUCCCAGACACAGUUCCUAUGCCACCUCCUUAGAAUAGCCUUCCAGACUUCCAGACCCUUCCUGAGUGUGGAAAAUGCUAUUCUGACAAUACAUUAUGUUAGCUUACAUUGAAGUUGCCUGCACCUGUAUUAGGAAACAGACUAUAUCCCUUUACAAAUGUUUCCUGGUCUAUUUUGGGUGGGGGUACUAAUUGACUUUCUUCUCAAAUAGUACUCCCACCCAAAUUUCCACCUAUAGUCACUCUCCCUGACAUCACCCGGAUUGAUAUAUCAUCCUUAAAAGUAUAACAUAAUUUUCACUUCUGAAUAAUAUAUAUCUGCUUUCCUAUCAUCUGUCUGCCUCUGUGAAAAUAGAAGCUCCGUCUUGCCUACCUUGUUGAUCCAUCUUGUCUGUCUCUCUGAGGGAGACUGGGUGUCCCAGUGCCUAGAGCAUAUAGGAGACACUCAUAGUUACUCAUUGAUUGAAACAAAAGAAAGGGAAACAAGCAAUGUGUGAAUGCAUCUGGAAUAUUUUAGAAGUAAAAUAACAGAAUUAAUUUAGGCCAUUCACAUAUAUUACUCACAUCUCCCAGGUUACAUUCAGUUUAUCAUAAAAUAUCUUCCUCAUUGGAAGCUUCAUUUGGAGUAACUCCCAUAGAGCCAGGGGCAAUGGCACACACCUGUAGUCCCAACUACUCAGGAGGCUGAGGCUGGAGGAUUGCUCGAACACAGAAGUUCAAGGCCAGCCUGAGCAAUAUAGCAAGACCCCACCUCAAAAACAAAUAAAUAAAUGGAAUAACUCCCUGUUUCUUUAUAUAUAUAAUAAUUCGAUUGUAACUCAAAUGUUUAUUGAAGUCCUUUUAUCAGGUAACACAAAUGUGUAAAGCAGUGGUUUUCAAACUGUGUUCUGUGAAUUCCUAACUCUGGUAAAAUUCCAUUUAAAUAAGUGUGCUGUCAGAUAAGUUGUUGAAUUACAACAGUAUCAUAUUCUUUUAACAUGUUCUAUCAGCAUGUUAAAGAAUUUUUGUAAAUCCUACAGUGAAGAAAUUUCUAUUACUUUGUCUCACUACUUCCUACACAUAUUUGGCCACAGAAUUUUCUCCAUCCCAUAUAUUUUGUUUUCUUCCAAAUUCCUGUUAACAUUGUGUGGAAUUACAGGUUGAAUAUUCCUCAUCUGGAAUGCUUGGGACCAGAAGUGUUUUAGAUUUUGGAUUUUUUUUUUUUUUUUUUUGGAUUUUGGAGCAUAUUGGAUUUCAGAUUUUUGGAUUAGGGAUACUCAACCUGUUUAUCCAUCUCCCUUUAUCUGUUCCAUUCUGCCUCUCGUCUUUUGCAUGCCAUGGCUAUAACGGAUAAUGGUGAUACUUGCCUGGGGAUUUGAAGCCCUAUCAAGAUGCUCGUAGGAUAAGAGACCAUUCUGAGGUCCCUAGGUGCCUGAAACCCUACCCAGGCCCCCAAGAGCUGAGGGCGUCAGUGUUUCUAGGAACCCUGGUGAAGUUGUGCUUUAUAGCACACUUGUGGAUGGUGUCCUAGAGAAAUUACAGCUUUCUUUUGGAUCAGUAUGUAUAAAAGACAAUAAUUCUCUCUAGCCAUUUUUGAGAUAUCACCAAUGAACUGAGGGUGGCAUUAUUUAGAGAUUUCUGGGCUUCGUGAAUGCUGCAGAAACUUGAUACCUCAACAUAACCACAAAAAUAGGGCAAUAUAUGCCUGCCUUGCUGUGUGAUUUUCAAAGGUUUGGUAGAGUUUCUGAAUCUACUUCUCAUUUGUAGGAAAAUGUACAUUGCAAUAGUUAUUCACUGUCAGAGACUCAAUAUCUUUACCAGAUUGAAUGGUUAGCAUCCUGUAUGCUGAAUAUUCUAUUCUCCUAGACUUCCAUUUUGUCAUAAUUUAAUUCAAAAUCAAAGUUUCUCAUUGUGAAAUAUUAAGCCAAGGUGUUUUAUAUAAAAAAGCAUUGAAUUAUCUUAUUCUCCAGGUGGCAUAGCUUAAAUAAGAUGGAAAUGUAAAUCUAAUCAAUGACAAGACUGUGUCUAUUUUAUACUGUAUAGCUUCUUUAAAAAAGACUGAUUCAUAUGCAGCAGUAAUUCAUUUAAUCUCAACAAGUCUUUGCAUAAUUUCAUAUUUCUUUACUAUACUCUGCCAAGAAUAUGUUCAUAUAUAUUACUUUAACCCUGCUAAACUGGCUUCAGAAAAUACUUGAGAGGCAACUAGACUGUUAACCCUUUAAAUAAUAGUUUCUCUUUUCCCUUUCUUUCCUUUAUUUUUAUGACGAAUUAACUUACCUGGAAUCAAGUUUUUUUCAGAAUUUGAGUUCCAACCUUUUUCCUGUUAUGCAUAGACUUUUCUAACGUUGGAGCAACCAGCUUGGAGAGUCUUGAAAUUCUAACUUCUAGAUCUUUUGUCUUUGAUCAUCGGCUAAGACUGUGCUGCUCCCAUUUUAAGUAGGCUGGAAUGGAAUGUGCUGCUACUUAUUCCAGGAUCUGGCAGAGUGAAGAAGGAGAUGUACUAAUUCCUGUCUUUCAGCAUUGUUAGCUUGGUGACACUCAAGUCCCUUGCAUUUCUUCUUUUCCAUGCUAUGCCAGAGAAUGUCAAAAGGUGAGUCCACAUGCCUACUUGCCAGCCUUAGUUUCUCAGUGACCAAGUUGUCGAGCCCCAGCCACCAGGGUUUGGCAGAGUUGAGACAAUGGAAGACUGUCUGAUAAUUGUACCUCUGUCCUCCUGCUGUCUUGUUAGACAUGUAACAAGAUCUGUGAUACCCUGUGGGGGGUGGUAUAAUAAGAACUCAAGGAUGUUUUAUUCAUCUUUGUAGCUAUAGUGUGUGCUCAAAUGGUAAUAGCUGAUGUUUGAGAUAGGUCCCAUUACUCUCCCUGUUUUUCAGAUGGAGACACUGGGGUACACAGAAGUCAAGUGGUCCCUUCAAGGCUAUAAGGAGAUAGAGCCUGGUUUCACAUCCUGACAUUAUUGUUCCAGAGUCCAUGCACUUAACCAUUGUACUGUCCUACUUCAAUUGAAUGACUUAAUUAUAACUGAAAGGGAUAAAGAAUCAAACUGUGUUGCAAAGGAAUCUCAUUUGGAGUUGUUUCCUUCUAAGCAUAUUGAAAUAUUGAGUUUUUUUGACUCAAAUCCUGGGUGUUGUGAUUUAAAAAUGAAAUAGAGAGAUUUCAGCUGGGAUUUUAAUUUAUGCUGUGUUUUUCAUGGUGAUUGAUAUGGUUAGGCUUUGUAUCCCCACCCAGAUUUCGUCUUGAAUUGUAGUGCCCAUAACCCCCGAGUGUUGUGGGAGGGACCCAGUGGGAGGUAAUUGAAUCAUGGGGGCAAUUUUGGCCAUGUGGUUCUCAUGAUAGUGAGUGAGUUCUCAUGAGAUAUGAUGGUUUUAUGAGGUGCUCUUCCCCUCUUUGCUCUGCACUUCUCUCUUCUGCCACCAUGUGAAGAAGGACAUGUUUGCUUCCCCUUCCGCCAUAAUUGUAAGUUUCCUGAGGCCUCCCAAGUCUUGCUUAACUGUGAGCCAAUUAAACCUCUUUCCUUUGUAAAUUACCCAGUCUCAGGUAUGCCCUUAGAGCAGCAUGAGAACAGACUAAUACAGUGAUCAUUUAUAUAUUUAACAAAUGUUGAGCACCUAGUAUGUGUCGGGCAUUAUCCUAGAUAACAGUGGCUCACCAAUGAACAAAACGGGAAAAGCCCUCUUUUCAGAUAGCAUCCAUUCUAAUGGGCAGUAUAGAUUUAUCUGAUCCAGGUAUCCAGUAAAAUUUCCUACCCAAAGACUUUGUAGUUAUGACUAUACUCAGGUGAAGUUAUGGCUAUGCUCAGGUGAUUGAGAAUAAUGGUAGUCCCAUGCUGAAAGGGCUGUCUUCUAGACUGCUGAAGGAUAACUUGAGCAAGCCAUUCUGACAAAAACCUGAGAGAUGAAACAGAAUCAGACAUCUUUAGUGUGGUGGUGAUUUUUGUUGCUGUGGUAACCAUUUCUGUUAGCAUCCCUCUCCAUGACUACAUUAUAAUUUUCACAGGACAGUGUGAGUUUAUAUACAAACAAACACAUGUGCUUUUAUAAAGCCUUGUUGAGGUGGAAGAAAGCUCGAGGACAUGUGUUGCCUUUUUUAAGACACACAGUGUUUGGGCUAAUUAAACCUGUCUGUUCAGGCAUAUCAUUGUCAAUGCUUUGCUCAGAGUAUUAAGUUGCUUUCUUUGAAGUGAUGAUGUAUGUGUCUGCAAUUGAUGGGAUUUUUGAAAUGUGUGUGUUCACAGGUACACCUAGUAGAUUUUUACUUUUUCCAAUCCCCAAACAUGCUAAUUUCCACACAAAGUUCUCUUGCACUCAUGCUGAAUCUCACUAAAGAUUAAAUACUUGAGGCUCUAAUGAGACCCUCCUAUAUAAUUAAGAUGAUCACUCUCACUUUAGCAUAAGUUCUCCACCAAAACUGUGAUUAUGAUGUGCAUUUUUACAUGUCAAAAGUACUAAUUUUGCCAUUUGUUGUUGUUAACUUUCUGAAGUUAAUGAGAAUGUACUGUUUAAGAGGAGCAUAUGUGUAGAGGAAACACAGAUCCCAGUUUAUUAUCUGUGUCGACUGAUGUUGCUAGAUAUGUUACACAUAUAACAUCUAUAGAACUCAGUCCCCUUUGUGACAAACACCAUGAGCAGGGAAAGGACUUGGAAAGGAAUAAUUUUGAGGAGUAUAAAUGAGUCCUGAAACUUUGAAAACUGCUGCUUGAGGAGAUUCUACAGCCAGAGGUGCCAAGAGAUGGCUCUUGCUAUUAUUUCUGCCCCUAGAGAUUGUCAGCUUUCUUUUGGAGCUACUUUGGGGUGGGGAAACUCUUAACACCUUCCAGAUACUGGAUGUUCUGCAUGAAAAGUCCAGGAUUGAAGCAUCUUGGUGAUGUAGCUCUUUUCUUCAAUAAGCUUAUGGACACAAGAUGCUCUUGUAGACACAAGAUGCUUAUAAACACACACACUUCCUCCGAGGUGUACCCACAGUGCCACAAGGGGUUUCACUCCUAGCUGCACUCUGACCUGAACUGUGUCUCUUCUUAGUUCAUCUAGGUUUUGUUGAGCACUGGCCACUAGUUCAGACUCUAAGGCAGGUUCUCCAUUGCGCCUUCCUGACAUCUUUUUCUGACCUGUAUGAUGACAGUCCGGGCAACCUAAGUCCAUGAGGGAUGUCCUAAUAUCAUUGCUCCUUCUCAGUGAUCUUUGAGCUCCAAAUUCUCAUUUGUGACUUUUUUUUUUUUUUACUACAACAGAUAUCUACAUCUUGUAUCUAUAAAAAUCAAAGGUAGUAUUCAAGUUCCCUCCAGCCCCUCCACCCCUCCCCUACCCCCACAAGUAUUCACCGUUAGAAACAGAAGUGGCUGGAAACUCACAUGGUGUUUCUUUUGUUCCUUUACAGAAAUGUGGGCCUAUGGAGGGCUAAAUUUGCUCAUGUGAAACUUCUGCUAACGUUGUUCAUAAUUUCUUGAGGCUUUCAUGUCACACUAAUAUUUUAUGAUUUAGAUAAAAUUUAGUCUUUGUUAUCACAGAGUUUAACAACCAUGUAGAAAGAAGAUGAGUCCAAAGUAAUUUUUUUGUUUUUGAGACAGGGUCUCGCUCUAUGGCCCAGGCUGGAGCGCAGCGGUGUGAUCAUGGCUCGCUGCAGCCUCCAGCUCUUGGGCUCAAGCAAUCCUCCCAUCUCAGCCUCCUAAGUAGCUGGGACUACAGGUACAUGCCACUGUGUCUAGCUAAUUUUUUUUUUUUGGCAGAGACAAGGUUUUGCCAUGUUGCCAAGGCUGAUCUCGGACUCCUGGGCUUAAGUGAUCUGUCCAUCCCUGCUUCCGCCUCUCAGAGUACUGGGAUUAUAGGUGCGAGCCACUGUGCCUGGUCCCCAAAGUAAUUUUUUUAUUGUCCGGCUUCUCAUCUGUUUCCCAGAGUUUUCCCAUUCACUAGGUCAUUUAAUUCUUAAACAAAUCUAGGUAAGGUGGAUAGUGACAAAUCAACUGUGGUGAGUACUUGUAUCACGACAUACUAAGUUUAGUUUCCUGAUAUUCAAAGUAGAAAUAUUCCACCUACCUCUCAAGACUGCUGCACGAAUUGGUUGACUCAGUUCUUAAGCCAUGGAACUUGCUCUACUGUGAGAGCACUGUGGAAAGAGCAACUGACCCUGAGUAGUAGGAUUGGAGGAGGGAAGGAGGUCAGCAACAGGGAACUCAUAGUGGAAAGCAAGACUUGUAAGGGCAGAGUGAGAAUGUGGGAGGACAUUCCAGGAAGAAGAAACUGGAUAGUCGAGAGCCCAGAGUUGAGACACACUGGGAAAGUAGGGAAUUACAGAUUCCUUAGUCGACCUCCAGAAUUAGAAAUCAAGUCUAUGUAAGCUUACUUGAAAAAAAAAACAAAAAACAAAACAAAACAUACAAACAGAAACAGCCAUUUUAAGGAAACCAACUGAGGCAGUGUGCAAUGAUUUAAUUCCAUAAGUGUUCAUUGUCACAUUCUUUGGAGUAGCAUAAAUAAGAGGAGUAGUAUUUUCGAGUACAUUAAUAUGUUUUUCUCUUUUACAUUUCUGUGUAAAUGACCUUCUUUCCCAACACCCAGAGGCAUCCAUUUGCCUCAAGGGAUUAUGAUUCUUAAAGCAGGAAGGCAGGAAGGAGUCAGUGCUUAAGUUUUGUCUACCAAAAUAAGAUUUUCUAAAUCCCUUAAGCCUACAUUAGCAUAUCAAGAACAAGGCCCAGUGGUGAACUUGAAUGUCAAGUUUAAUGUAACUAGGGUGACCACACUUACUAGCUUGCUUAGGACAGCUCUAAUUCAUGCACCUUAUCCUGACCUAAUUAUCAGUAGCACCCCUUUUACUCUCAAAUGCAUCCUGGUUUGGAUGAUGAAUUAUAAGUAAGGGAAGUCCCUGCCUCAGAAGAGGUAGAGUGACAUGGAGCCCAGCCCUUCGGGCCUAGUGGAGUGUGGGGAUCAAGGAAGAUGGAAAGGGAGGGAAGUAACAAAAUAUGUAUGUGUGUGUGUUAUGUUAUACCCUGGAGUCAGAAUUCCAGUGUAUGCUGGGAGUGGUGGCAAACAUAUUAGUUAAAAGCAAUAGGGCGUUGGUCUCACUACCUCUGGAACUCUAGGAAGGCUACACUGCAGGGCCAUCCCAUACCAAGACAGGUUAACAGCAGCUCGGUAAGUUUAGGAGAAUGGCCAGGGAUUUCAGGUGGGAUUUCACACCUGAAAUCCCAACCCUUUGGGAGACUGAGGUGGGCAGAUUGCUUGAGCCUAGGAGUUUGAGACUAGCCUGGGCAACAUGGUGAAACCCCGUCUCUACAAAAAAUUAGCCAGGCGUGGUGUUGUGCACCUGUAGUCCUAGCUACUGGAGAGGCUGAGGUGGGAGGUUCUCUUGAACCUGGGAGGUGGAGGUUGCAGUGAGCUGAGAUUGUACCACUACACUCCAGCCUGGGCAACAGAGGGAGACCCGGUCUCUAAAACAAAACAAAAAAAUAAAACAAACAAAAAAAGAAUAAGAGCAUAUCAGGCUCAGGCAGAGCGAAGGCCUGAGAGAUCUAUCUAUCCUGAACUUCCUCAUCUCCCACUUGGUAUGAAAGGGAAGCUUUACGUGUUUCUUGGGGGAUGUAUAAGGUCCUGAGGAGAGAGCCUGUGAGCUUACCGUGGGUGAUGCUUUAGUGAUGGUGAGCUAACAUUCUAGAAGUACAGGCUAAGAUGGGCUAAGUCAAGGAUUGGUUAGGGGAUGGGACUGAGGCCCAGAGGUUCAUCAGAAUUUGAGGGGGUUAAAUUAGGAUGGAAUUGGUAAGAGAGAACGUAGCACUCAGUCCAAGCCUGGAGAACAGAGCCAAGUCUUCCAGGGUAGGCUUCAGUGUCAGAUGCCCAUGGGGCAUACACUGGGUAACCUGGCAGGUAAGGUACUUCACAGCAGAGAGAGCAGAGGACUCGGUGACCAGCACAGGACCCCUCUUCCUACUGCCACAAGAUUGUGUGAGCCUCCCAGAUACCUGGAUGUCAUUGUAGGGAGGAUUUGCAUUAACAUUAAAAAAAAGAGAUGGAUUUGUUCAUUUAAAAUAUAUUAAUCCAACACUUACCCUAUGCCUGGCACUACUGUAGAUACUGGGAAUACAGCAGGAAAUGAAACUGAAAAAAAUCCUUGCCUUCGUGGAACUUACAUUCCAGUGACUUCACCCAAAGACUCCAUUUAAAACACAAGAAAUUGAGAUACUGUCAACAAUAACUUAGCACUACUCCGCUACCUGUCAGGGUAAGAGCUCUUAAGGAAGGUUAAAUAAACUAUAGACAAUUAAGAAGUUGCAUUUGUUUUGUGCAUCUGAAUUGUAACAUUUUUAAGUUUGACACUGCUGUCAUAACUGUGCAAGAUAGGAAGUUGAGUAGAUGGGCCAGGUGCAGUGACUCAUGCCUGUAAUCCCAGCACUUUGGGAGAGCAAGGCAGAUGGAUCUCUUGAGCCCAGGAGUUUGAGACCAGCCUGGCCAACAUGGCAAAACUCCUUCUCUACAAAAAAAUACAAAAAUUAGCCUGGCAUGGUGGUGUGUGCCUGUGGUCCCAGGUACUUGGGAGGCUGAGGUGGGAGGAUCACUUGAUCCUGAGAGGUUGAGGCUGCAGUGAGCUGUGAUUAUGCCACUGUACUCCAGCCUGGGCUACAGAGUGAGACCCUGUUUCAAAAAAAAAAAAAAAGAGGUUGAGUAGAUAAGUUAUGGUACUUCUCUAAUAAAAUACUAUGCAUUAACAAUGAUGUUAUAGAUGAAUAUUUAUUUAUAUAUAACAGUGUUCACAAUGUAUGAUGUAAAUUGUAGAAAGCAAGUUAAAAAAAUCAUACAUAAUAUUUUUAAUUUAAAAUAUAUAUACAUUAAACAUUGUAUAAUAUCCACAUUCUACAAAAAUGUAUAUAUGGUAAGCCCAGAUAUAUAUAUAUGUAUAUACACACACACACACACACAUAUAUGUGUAUAUAUAUGUAUGUGUGUAUUGUAUGUAAUAUAUAUCCAUAUAAGCCCAAUUCAAAUAAAUCUAUAGCAGUGUCUUGGUUACAUUUAUGUAGUUAGACUGCUGUUU